GGGAACGUAGCUCAAUUGGCAGAGCACUAAAAACCCGAUUGCUAUUCCUUGACCAUUUUUAUGGGCCGGCUGUAGCCGGUUACCAUCCGUACUGGAGAGGUUGCAGGUUCAAAUCCUGCCGUUCGCA
rnacentral:tRNA from 2 species